rnacentral:rRNA from 1 species
GGUUAAGCGACUAAGCGUACACGGUGGAUGCCCUGGCAGUCAGAGGCGAUGAAGGACGUGCUAAUCUGCGAUAAGCGUCGGUAAGGUGAUAUGAACCGUUAUAACCGGCGAUUUCCGAAUGGGGAAACCCAGUGUGUUUCGACACACUAUCAUUGCGUGAAUACAUAGCGUAAUGAAGCGAACCGGGGGAACUGAAACAUCUAAGUACCCCGAGGAAAAGAAAUCAACCGAGAUUCCCCCAGUAGCGGCGAGCGAACGGGGAGCAGCCCAGAGUCUGAAUCA